rnacentral:rRNA from 1 species
GACGAACGCUGGCGGCGUGCUUAACACAUGCAAGUCGAACGGACAGGCCUGCUUUCCCUUGUGGAUUGCGGGUACUCGAGUGGCGAACGGGCGAGUAACACGUGAGUGAUUUGCACCCAACUUGGGUCUAAGCCCGGGAAACUGGGUCUAAUUCUCGAUAGGACUGCAGGGUGGUGUCUGUGGUGGCAAACGAUUUUCUAGUGGUUGGGGAUGAGCUCGCGGCCUAUCUGCUUGUUGGUGGGGUAAUGGCCUACCAAGGCGGCGACGGGUAGCCGGCCUGAGAUGGUGGACGGCCACAUUGAGACAGAGACACGGCCCAGACGCGUACGGGAGGCAGCAGUGGGGAAUAUAGGACAGUGGGCGGAAGGCUGAAGCAGCGACGCCGCGUGGAGGAUGACGGCCUUCGGGUUGUAAACUCCUUGCGACCGCGAGGAAGCCACCUGGUUGGAAGGGUGGUGACGGUAGUGGUAGAAGAAGCACCGGCUAACUACGUG